UCCCGGAUUUUUUCCCCAGCCUCAA
rnacentral:miRNA from 1 species